rnacentral:rRNA from 1 species
UACGUAGGGGGCAAGCGUUGUCCGGAUUUAUUGGGCGUAAAGAGCGUGUAGGCGGCUUUACAGGUCCGUUGUGAAAACUCGAGGCUCAACCUCGAGACGCCGGUGGAAACCGUAAGGCUAGAGUCCGGAAGAGGAGAGUGGAAUUCCUGGUGUAGCGGUGAAAUGCGCAGAUAUCAGGAGGAACACCGAUGGCGAAGGCAGCUCGCUGGGACGUAACUGACGCUGAGACGCGAAAGCGUGGGGAGCAAACAGG